CAUGGCGGGAGUAGUUUUGACUUGGGACUGCAGACCUUCUCCACUGGCAUUUAAGAAGUGUGCUGUUCUUGCGAGAAAUAACAGCAGUGCAGCCGCUUUGGUGCCCUGUGUGGGUGCCGGCCCAGACCUUGCUUAGUGGUCCCCUCCGGGUGGAGACCUGCUGCUGCACCCUGCCUUUGACGAUGCCCGACCGUCACCCUGCCUUUGACGAUGCCCGACCCUCCCCCCGCAUGGCAGUGGCGGGUGAGGGGUGAGUGGGUCAUGGCAACAGUGGAGACACCUGUGCUGUCUAAGGAGGGACAAGAAGCUGCUUACGAGCCUCAUGCCCGCCCCAGUGCUCAGCGUGGCCUCCUCACAGGUCUUGUUCCGAGCGAGUGGCGGCAAGCCCAUCGCCGUGCUCUGCCUGACCGUGGAGCUGCAGCCCCACGUGGUGGACCAGGUCUUCCGCUUCUAUCACCCGGAGCUCUCCUUCCUGAAGAAGGCCAUCCGCCUGCCGCCCUGGCACACACUUCCAGGUGCUCGGGUGGGAAUGCUUGGUGAGGACCCCCCAGUCCACGUUCGCUGCAGCGACCCGAAUGUCAUCUGUGAGACCCAGAAUGUGGGCCCCGGGGAGCCACGGGACAUAUUUCUGAAGGUAGCCAGUGGUCCGAGCCCGGAGAUCAAAGACUUCUUUGUCAUCAUUUACUCGUAAGUGCACAGGCUUCGGGGACCUUGGGGCGGUGGCAGAGGAGAGGAGGAGGCAGGCCUGGGGCUGCUGGUGGAUUCAAAGUAGGCUUGGCCCCUUCCUAAACUUGGAGCUGUCGGGCCUUCACUUUGUGAGGCAGGAUUCUGCUGCGAGUUCAGGGCCCGCAGGGGCCUAGGGAAGGCAUCCUGGAGGGGCACGUGCAGCCUGAGUGACUUGGGAUGCAGCUUGUGCCACCAAGGAAAGACACCAGUCAGCCUCUGUCCCCAGAUAGUGGCAAGGGCCACCCAGAAGCCCCUCGUUACCUUUUUAUUGCUGAGUCCCUAGGCUGAACAGCGUGACUGAAGCUGUGGUCCCUCCUGCGGAGAGGCAGGACUGUGGUGGAAAUGCCCGUCCCUCUCUCCUCCAGGCUAAAUGACCCAACCCCUUUCCCCUCCCCUCCUAAGGAUCCCCAAGCCGUGUGAGAAUCCUUUCAAACUGGUGUGAGCUGAGAGAUUUCCUGCAGUGCUUCUGAGGACGAGUCAGGGGCUAACCUGCACUGAGUGCCCACCAGAGGAUGAGGGGCCACGUGACCACGUCUCAGAGUGGCUUCCUCGUGAGCCCAUGAAGAUGCCUCACCCAGCCCCAUUUGAAUACGAAGCAGCAGGCUCUUGGCCCUAAAAUGCUAACAGGGGCUUCCGUGCUCAGGCCGGCAUGACCUCCAGCCCCACCCUGUCUCCUGUGUGGUGCUGCCCUUGGCUUUGCCUCAGAACCUCUAUUGGGGGUGGACACUUGUCCAGGAUGUGUGUUUGGUGAAAGCGUGCCUUGUCGUUUGUUUGACAUGUGGUUCCUAAGCAGCCCUGCCAUGCCCUGAGAGCCUCUGAGUGGGAGGUGGGCAGCCACGGGUGGAGCCACCAGGCCCCAGCUCUGCCUGCCAGGGCCUGGUCCUCCAGGGCUUUCCUUGCGCGGCCCUAGCUCUGCUUCCUGGGGCCUGGUCCUCUGGGGCUUUCCCUGCGCGGCCUCCUGUCUGCCCGCGCUCCUGGCAGUCCUUGUCGGCCUCUCGCAGGCUGGUGCUGAGUCCUCCGGGACAAAUGCAGAUGGCUCCCGUCCCACUGCAGGGAUCGCUGGCUGGCGACACCCACACAGACGUGGCAGGUCUACCUCCACUCCCUGCAGCGCGUGGAUGUCUCCUGCGUCGCAGGCCAGCUGACCCGCCUGUCCCUUGUCCUUCGGGGGACGCAGACAGUGAGGAAAGUGAGAGCUUUCACCUCGCAUCCCCAGGAGCUGAAGGUACGGCCUCUCUGGGAGUUGUUCUGAGCCUCUCCCCAACCCCAGCCUGGAGACGGGCAGUGGGCAUUCAGCUGGGGCACAGUGGGUGGCCCUGACGGCAGCUUUUCCAGCGCCUCCAGCACUCAGACGCUGUUACCAGAGGCCUCUUGGCAGUUGCCUUUUGUUAGAUGUGCCAUUGUGGGGUGAGUGACGUACACACCAACCCCAAAGGCCAGUGUUCAGAAUUCCUGGCAAGGUGAACAGUGACAGGAGUUCUGGCGUUAGUGAAGCUACAGUUAGACGGGGUGGGAGGGCGGCCCCUGGUGCCACCAGCUGGCCAGGGUUUUAAGCCCGAGGUGGCUUCAGUUCUCUCUGCGGAGGCAGCGCUUAGGGAAUAGUCACCACGUGAGAGGAGGGACUUGCCAGGCGCGGACCCAAGCCGUGGCCACAGUGAUGUCAGGGUUGGUUGUGGCCUCAGAUUUGGCCGCCCCGGAACCACCCAUGACCUUGGGCUCCCCUGGCUGAUUGGGCUGCAGGUGCCCGGGAGCCCCUUGCUUGCACACCCUGAGAGGCUGUGCUCUGACCUGCCUCUCUUGCUCUUGAAGACAGAUCCCAAAGGUGUCUUCGUGCUCCCGCCUCGUGGGGUGCAGGACCUGCAUGUUGGCGUGAGGCCCCUCAGGGCCGGCAGCCGCUUCGUCCACCUCAACCUGGUGGACGUGGAUUGCCACCAGCUGGUGGCCUCCUGGCUCGUGUGCCUCUCCUGCCGCCAGCCGCUCAUCUCCAAGGUCUGUAUGUGUGACAGGCACAGGCUGAGGGGAUGGGGGCUCAAUACCAGGGCACUGCAGGACCCCCACCUCGGCCCUGUGACUCGGGCCACCUGGAUACAGUGUUCUGACCCAGCAGGGCUGGGUGCACGAGUGUUUGCUCCUGUGCUGUCUGUCUCCCGGAUGGAAGCUCCAGAGAGUGUCUGUCUUAUCUCUGUGGGGGUCCCCAUGCACGGUGCACAGGAGACUCAGGGAAUACUUGGAGGAAGGGCCAGUGGCUGUUUCCGCGAGUGGCCGCAGCAUCUCCCUGUCCCCUCCCUCCACAGGCCUUUGAGAUCACAUUGGCUGCGGGCGAAGGGAAGGGUGUCAACAAGAGGAUCACCUACACCAACCCCUACCCCUCCCGGAGGACGUUCCACCUUCACAGCGACCACCCGGAGCUGCUGCGGUUCAGGGAGGACUCCUUCCAGGUGUGGUGGGGCUGUGCCUGGGACUCCCAGGGGAAGCCCUGGGGACCUGAAUGGAGGGCAGUUAGCCUGCAUUUAGGAGCGAGUUCCUCGAAUCACCAGCAGUCUUCCAAAAGCCCCAGGGUGGUGACAGGUGCCAUCCCAUAGUUGGGUGGGCCUGUUGUCUCUUUAGUAGCUGGAGAUUUAGCAAAGUUUCUCCUGAGCGUGGGAAAGGGUGAUGUGCCCAGGGCUUUUCAUGGUAAUGUUAGACAGCUCAGUCUCGAAAAUAAGUGUGCCUCCGAGUCCAAGUAAUGUGUCACCCUGGCUGAGCACCGGUUCCCAUCCUUGUCCCGGGCGCUGAAGUCAAAGGCAGGCCUUGGAUGCACCCGCAGGGCUCCCCUGCCUUGUCAUUUCCCCUUGGAAAUAAACACGACUGUGCAGAGAGGUUGCUGGUGAGAUCGUGGGACAGCCUGGGGGUGGACGCUGGGAUUUGGAUGCUUAUUUCCAGGUCGGGGGUGGAGAGACCUACACCAUCGGCUUGCAGUUUGCGCCUAGUCAGAGAGUAGGGGAGGAGGAGAUCCUGAUCUACAUCAAUGACCAUGAGGACAAAAACGAAGAGGCAUUUUGCGUGAAGGUCAUCUACCAGUGAGGACUUGAGGGUGACGUCCUUCCUGCGGCACCCGGCUGGGGCCUGUCUGUGCCCCUCCUGCCCUGCAGGCCGUCCUCCCCGCGUCUCUGCAGCCUUUCACUUCAGUGCCCACCUGGCUGACCUGUGCACUUGGCUGAGGAAGCAGAGACCGAGCGCUGGUCAUUUUGUAGUACCUGCGUCCAGCUUAGCUGCUGCUGACACCCAGCAGGCCUGGGUUCCGUGAGCGUGGACUCCGUGGCGGUGGCUGUGGCUCUGGUGCUGCCAUCUAUGCAUGUGGGACCCUUGUUAUCUCUGUUGCUCAAAAUGUAUUUUAUGAAUCAUCCUAAAUGAUAAAAUUAUGUUUUUCUUACUGGAUUUUGUACAAACAUAAUCUAUUAUUUGCUAUGCAAUAUUUUAUGCUGGUAUUAUGUCUGUUUUUUAAAUGGUUGAACGAAAUACUAAACUUUUACACAUC
rnacentral:sRNA from 1 species